AGAGGCAAUGGGUUUUGGACGUUGACGGAGCACGUCAGAGAAGGAAGACGGAGUCCGCGCUUGUUUGAAAUCGAAAGUUGUCGCGGUAGCUUUUGACAAAGAUUAUCAUCAAGACGAAGCAGCUGCAUUAUAAGUGGGAUGCACUGUUGACCGCAACAUCCCGAGGCGUUCGUGCUGAUUGUACGGAGAUUGUGACAGCGGGUUAAAUGGUGCCCCUUGAGAAAGCAAGAACAAGAUAUGUCAGGAGAAGUGCAGUAUUACACAAGGAGAUGUAUACUUGGAAAAAAUGGAUAUGGUUUGUUAAAGAAGAAUGGUAGAAAGUGUAAACUGAGUGAGCUGAAGACCGGAGGAGAAAUGGAAGUGAAUGAGGUAUCGGAGGUUCCCAUUUCAUGACAAGCCCAGGCUACAGCAGUGGGUAGCAACUGUCAUGCGGAUGAAUUGGAAACCAACCCAACACUCUUGUCUCUGCCCAUCACUUUGAAGAUGAGUGUUUUUGGGAUGAUGACAAGGGAAAGGUCAGCCUCACUGCUUCUGCUUGUGCCCAUUAUUUUCUCCCCUGGUUGUCUUCAAAAGUGGUCACAAUGCCCCAGGGAAAGAUCAAGGAAUACAGUAGGUACAGGGGUAAGUGGCAACGCUGAUAAUGUGAAAGCGUCUGCGGCAUGAUCACAUUUAAUGUGUACGUAACAUCGUUGAGGUACUUGUUGAUGAUGAUGUUGGUCACAGCAAUAUCAAUGUGUUGUGUCUUUAGUAUCAUUAAAGGUGAAGACUGUUAUUUUAUCAACUCAAUUCGCUGUAAUUAUUAUGUGAUUAAACUAAUCCUGUAAAUGUAAUUAACUAGGAAGUCAGGGCACCAUGGAAAAUCUUUAGAUUACAAAAAUUAUAAUUUUCCAAAUAUAACUCUUCAGAUAUUUUAAUAUCUGAUCAAUUAGUCUUCUAUUAAUGAAUUAUUCUUUAUCUUACGUCAGUCUCAUUUCAAACGUCGUAGAAUUCUUGGUUAUCUGUACAAACCCAGCCUAAACUAUGAAUCAUCCAUACACCAAUUGGCUUAAUCAUUUAUUUACUAACUAACUAAAUAAUCACAGAAAUGCAUAACAAACAGUAGAUAUUGGUUACUAACAAUGAUAGGGAAGAUCCCCUAGUGGACUAAACUGAUAUGAUGUCUUGGUGGACAAAGAAAAGGGGGUGUGGACCGAUAAAGGAGCUUGAAAGACAAAAUGGAUCACUACACACUGGAUAAUUAUAUUCAUUGAAAUGCUAAUCCUUUGCAGAUGAAGGCUCGCUCAUUCGGGAAUAAUUGCAAUCAAUAUAUUUACGCCCAUAUGUCGUUGUCUUCUCUGUUGGAAUCGUCGGUCCGUCUGCUGGAGAGUCAGUUCAUCAGAGUCUCUCUGGUUACUUAUGGUGUUAGCUCUAUCGGCGGCUCCUGAUAGUGUCUGUUGUAAUGGGUACGUCAGGGGUCCAUUGUUCUUAGAGUAGAUGUUUCGGCGGUUGUCGGUAUUUGCAUCCCAGGUUUACAUAAUUUCUAGCUGCAGACUAGUAAUUAGUAUCUAAGAUUUGCUCUUAUUCUGUAGGGAUCGAUAGUCUCAGAGUUGAACCAUUUCCAGCCGUGUAGCCAAUGCGCCACGUGGUAUGGUUUUGUAGUCGUGGUACUCAACCAUUGCAACCACAACUCAUGCUGGGGGUUUGCUUAGUCUGAAGAGGAUUCCCUCAGGAGUGGUUUUUAUUAGUAACAAUAUAAAAGGGUGGUUCCAUGAUGCCUGAUAAUGUCUGUGCUCACAGGGUGUGCUCCCUGUGCUCACAGGGAAAUCACAAAUACUUUCAUCUUUACUCAUUCAUUUUAUAACCCCAUAAUUCAUAAAUGUACACAUUCAGACAUAUAGUUGUGUGUUUCCUGUCCUCCAUGAGGUCACCAAAUGAAACACACUCAUCAUACCUGUCCCUUAAGUGUCCAUGGACCCUUCCCACAUUCUCACAAGUGGACAUAUAGUUUAAUUCUCCCAUUUUGGGGAUUUAGGAGUUCGGCCAAGUGAAAUUCCUUGUUCUCUCUCUGUAUGCUCAGUCCCCUCCUGUACUCCCUGUUCACCCAUGACUGCAUGGCCAGGCACGACUCCAACACCAUCAUUAAGUUUGCAGACGACACAAGUGGUAGGCCUGAUCACCGACAACGACGAGACAGCCUAUAGGGAGGAGAUCAGAGACCUGGCUGGGUGGUGCCAGAAUAACAACCUAUCCCUCAAUGUAACCAAGACAAAGGAGAUGAUUGUGGACUACAGGAAAAGAAGGACCGAGUACGCCCCCAUUCUCAUCGACAGGGCUGUAGUGGAGCAGGUUGAGAGCUUCAAGUUCCUUGGUGUCCACAUCAACAACAAUCAAAGACAAAGCCUAUUCCCCCUCAGGAAACUAAAAAGAUUUGGCAUGGGUCCUGAGAUCCUCAAAAGGUUCUACAGCUGCAACAUCGAGAGCAUCCUGACUGGUUGCAUCACUGCCUGGUACGGCAACUGCUCGUCUUCUGACCGCAAGGCACAACAGAGGGUAGUGCGUAUGGCCCAGUACAUCACUGGGGCUAAGCUGCCUGCCAUCCAGGACUUCUACACCAGGUGGUGUCAGAGGAAGGCCCUAAAAAUUGUCAAUGACUCCAGCCACCCCAGUCAUAGACUGUUCUCUCUACUACCGCAUGGCAAGCGGUACUGGAGUGCCAAGUCUAGGACUAAAAGGCUUCUCAACAGUUUUUACCCCCAAGCCAUAAGACUCCUGAACAGGUAAUCAAGUGGCUAUCCGGACUAUUUGCAUUGUGUGCCCCCCCCAACCCCUCUUUUUACGCUGCUGCUACUCUCUGUUAUCAUAUAUGCAUAGUUACUUUAACUAUACAUUCAUGUACAUACUACCACAAUUGGGCCAGCCAACCAGUGCUGCCGCACAUUGUCUGACCGAGCUAUCUGCAUUGUGUCCCACCACCCGCCAACCCCUAUUUUACACUACUGCUAAUCUCUGUUCAUCAUAUAUGCAUAGUCACUUUAACCAUAUCUACAUGUACAUAGUACUACCUCAAUCAGCCUGACUAACCGAUGUCUGUAUGUAACCUCGCUACGUUUACAGCCUCGCUACGUCUUUUUUACAGUUUUUUAUUUUUAUUUCUUUACUUACCUAUUGUUCACUUAAUACCUUUUUUGCACUAUUGGUUAGAGCCUGUAAGUAAGCAUUUCACUGUAACACCUGUUGUAUUCGGCACACGUGAGAAAUAAACUUUGAUUUGAUUUUCUCUCUUUCUGCAUGGCCAGGGGGAGAGUCUCCGCCAAGAAUUUACGACCUGAGAUAACAGAACCUGGGUGUAGGAGUCAGAGGGGGAAGCCACGAUCUUCACCCAGAAAGGGCCACAUCAUGACAACUGUGAUGCUGGAUGUGCAUGACACCAGUGGUGUGUCAGAUGUAGGCCUACAUCACAAUGACAUAGCUGUGAUAGUGGAUGCCGGCUGCUGCUGAUUCCUUGCUUCUCACUAGGUGAUGUUGCCACACCUCAGCUGAGCAGAGGAUCCAAUAUGACAAACCAUGCAGUAAUUUCUCAAUGGUACAGCUUCUUGGUUAAAUACAAAGGUUCUCUUUCAUUUUCUCCUCUACAUUUGGAUUGACAAUGGUGCUUGUGUGCAUCUAAUAUAUUUUAUGAGCUUUGAUUAGAAGCAUAACCAAACGGCUUUAGAAGUAUAACACAGAAACUAUAGAUAACGUUAUCCAGAAAUCUUACAUACUGUUUUCUGAAAGUUGCAAAAAAAAAUUGUGUCUCUUAAAAGUUGGCUGGUUAUUAAACAGUUUAUCUUCUCAAUUAGUUAAGUUAUUACAUAUGAAAAGAUUAGCUGUGGAUUUUUCCACUAUAUUAUUGCUUUGUGACUCUCCGACCAAUCUCUAAUCAUAUCCUGUAGUCCUGUGAAGUGGAGUUCCCCCUCCACCAAUCCCUCAGGGCUCCAAUGUUAAGUCAAACUCCAUUCUCUUAUAAACUGUGCUGAACUGAUACAGUGAACCAGCUGAAGUCGGUAUGUAAACUGACACCACUGGAGGUCUUGGCGCUAUUUGUGUAGAACAAGAAAGAAAACAAGUAGGCGGACAGUACAAGUAAACUUUAUUGAACUAUUUACAAAACAUAAGUAGGAACAGAUUAGAAUAUCGUUCACAUCAGGAUGCACAACCUUCCACUUCUGUAAGGAGUUCUUUAUUUUGCCAUUCUUACUAUGUUGAAGCACUUGAUUGUUUUUGAAUAGCAGGACAGAAAUAAAGUACCUCAUGCUAAAAAGAGAAGUCAAAGAGAUCUCUUGGCAAGGGUUAGAAAGGAUAGACCCAGCAAAAUGUAUAUCUGUCAUAACUCACAAUGUCAGUGGCUCUGUAAAUACAUAAUGUUGUGACUUGUAGAAUCCUGGAGUUGGAAUAUUAUAUUACUUGUACAUAACGCUGCUUUUAUCAUACUGUGUCAUUUAGAAUGUGUAAAUGCAGCUUUACUGAUUAAUUGUCAAAUCAUAACGGCAUAACUUUUGCAAAAACUUAUUUCACCAACUUUUCAUUUUGUAACAAGUGGCAUGUUGUGUUGAAUAGAAAAUAUACAACUGCUAGGUCUCGUGAGGUGCACAUGUAGCGCUAAAUAGAGCACGUAUGAUUUAAUCCUCAAUAAGUUACGUGCACACAACUGCAUACACAGAAUUACCUUUCAUGGUUGGAGUGGUUGUGGUACCUGCAGAUUUCCCGUUCCCCAAUGGUGGUGGUGCAAAAGCAGAUUUCCCCUCCCGAAACUAGUUGCAGCCAUGCAGAUCCACGUCCCUGGCAACAUUGGCAGAGUGCCCAAAAACUAUACCGCACUGGCGGAGUGGAGUAGUCCUAGAAAAAACGGAACUAGCAAUAUGGCAGCAGCCACGAAAUGGUCGUUGCCACAAAGUCAGAAGGCACGCCUACUUGACCAAACAAAUGAGGGAGUAUAAUGAUGUGUAUGCCAGCCCAGAAGGCUCGCCUACCCGACCAAUCAGAUGAGGAAGUAUGAUGUCCUACUCUAUGCCGGUUUGUGGGAAAUACCUACUUAUUGAGUUGAAAAAAACCACAUCUCCCAUUCCACCUGAUUACAUAUGUGGCGUAUCAUAUGAAUGGUGUGAUUGGUAAAAUGAUGUCCACCUUUUAAUGGGGUGAUUGUUGUCUAAUCUGGUGCCCAUUCAAUGGUGUUCUGUUUCAAGUUGCGGGACUUGUAAGAAUGCCACCUGGGGAAAGGCAGACAAACGAAAGACAAAGAGAAAUAUCCUGCUGAAAAAGGCAGUAAGUUCAAAGGCUGAUCACUGGAAUUUAAACCAUACACUUUUACAACAAAUUUUGAAUUCCCAACUAACAAUGGAAUGUUCCUCAAUAAAAUCGUAAAAGCCUUGGUUUCAUGCAUGUUAACAUUAAAAGUCUCCUCCCUAAAUUUGUUUUAUUCACUGCUUUAGCCCACUCUGCCAACACAGAUG